CGGGGUGUGCCAGUGUGGGUACUUUCAUAUGACUGGUGUGUCCAGUUGUCCACUUUCAUAUGACUGGUGGUGUCCAUUUGUCCACUUUCAUAUGACGUGGUGGUUGUGGGUACUUCAUAUGACGUGUCCGGCCCACUUUCAUAUGAUGUGGUGUGUCCAGUGUGGGUACUUUCAUACGUGGGUGCCAGUGUGGGUACUUUCAUAUGAUGUGGUGUGUCCAGUGUGGGUACUUUCAUAUGACGUGGUGUGUCCAGUUGUCCACUUUCAUAUGACGUGGUGGUUUGUCCAGUUGUCCACUUUCAUAUGACGUGGUGGUGUGUCCAGUUGUCACUUUCAUAUGACGUGGUGGUGUGUCCAGUUGUCACUUUCAUAUGACGUGGUGGUGGUGUGUCCAGUUGUCCACUUCAUAUGACGUGGUGGUGGUGUGUCCAGUUGUCCACUUUCAUAUGACGUGGUGGUGGUGUGUCCAGUUGUCCACUUCAUAUGACGUGGUGGUGUGUGCCAGUUGUCCACUUUCAUAUGACGUGGUGGUGGUGUUCCAGUUGUCCACUUUCAUAUGACGUGGUGGUGGUGUCCAGUUGUCCACUUCAUAGACGUGGUGUGGUGGUCCAGUUGUCCACUUUCAUAUGAGUGGUGGUGUGUCCAGUGUGGGUACUUUCAAUGAGGGUGUGUCAGUUGCCACUUUCAUAUGAUGUGGUGUGUCCAGUGUGGGUACUUUCAUCACCAUGUUUUUGAAUGAACAAAGUGCCUUGGCCUGAACCUGCCCAUGGUUACUCUGUCUGUGUGUGUGUUUGGUCUUUCUUU
rnacentral:lncRNA from 1 species